rnacentral:rRNA from 1 species
CCUACGGGAGGCUGCAGUGAGGAAUAUUGGUCAAUGGACGAGAGUCUGAACCAGCCAAGUAGCGUGAAGGAUGACUGCCCUAUGGGUUGUAAACUUCUUUUAUAUGGGAAUAAAGCUCAGCAUGUGUGCCUUUUUGCAUGUACUUUAUGAAUAAGGAUCGGCUAACUCCGUGCCAGCAGCCGCGGUAAUACGGAGGAUCCGAGCGUUAUCCGGAUUUAUUGGGUUUAAAGGGAGUGUAGACGGGUGGUUAAGUCAGUUGUGAAAGUUUGCGGCUCAACCGUAAAAUUGCAGUUGAUACUGGAAGUCUUGAGUGCAGCAGAGGUAGGCGGAAUUCGUGGUGUAGCGGUGAAAUGCUUAGAUAUCACGAAGAACUCCGAUUGCGAAGGCAGCUUACUAAACUGUGACUGACGCUGAUGCUCGAAAGUGUGGGUAUCAAACAGGAUUAGAUACCCGUGUAGUC